rfam:Otolemur garnettii contig109560, whole genome shotgun sequence.
CUGGGAUAAUGGUAAAAUUUUUCAUCAACCGGAAUUUACGUGGUGAAUGUUGGUAACUUCAGGCAACCUGA